CGAAUCAAAACUCUGCCCGCCGCGAACGCCUUACGGCGCCGCGGCGCGGUGGACAAACACCCAUGUGCUCCAUGAACGUCUUUUGGCGGUCCCUUCGGCAGCGGCCUCGGCCGCAGUCGUCGAGCGGUCGGAUGGCGCGAGCCGUCCGUCCGCUUUGGGCCGCCAGCAGUGACACACACCAAAAUCUUGUUUUAUCUGAACCCAAAACGAAAGCAAUGAGAAA
rnacentral:misc_RNA from 1 species